GCCCGGCUAGCUCAAUCGGUAGAGCGUAAGACUGUAAGUCUUCUGAUUCCCCUUCCACACCUCCAGUACUGACCUCUUCCUCCUUAGUCUAAUCUUAAGGUCGCAAGUUCGAUCCUUGCGUCGGGCU